AUUGAACGCUGGCGGCAGGCCUAACACAUGCAAGUCGAACGAGUGGCGGACGGGUGAGUAAUGUCUGGGAAACUGCCUGAUGGAGGGGGAUAACUACUGGAAAAGGUAGCUAAUACCGCAUACCCUCGUAUGUGCCCAGAUUGGCUUAGCUAGUAGGUAGGGUAAAGGCUCCCCUAGGCGACGAUCCCUAGCUGGUCUGAGAGGAUGACCAGCCACACUGGAACUAAGACACGGUCCAGACUCCUACGGGAGGCAGCGGUGGGGAAUAUUGCGCAAUGGGCGCAAGCCUGAUUCAGCCAUGCGGCGUGUAUGAAGAAGGCCUUCGUGUUGUAAAGUACGUUCAGCGGGGAGGCGUUACCCGCAGAAGAAGCACCGGCUAACUCCGUGCCAGCAGCCGCGGUAAUAC
rnacentral:rRNA from 1 species